GUCAUCUGAUAACUCAGGUCAGUGUUCUUACCUUUUGCUUCCCCAACAAUUUUCAAAUCACCAUCUUUUUCUUUCUUUGUUCCUUUAAUCUUGGCUGCCUAAAGUUUCUUGUAGGUAAUCCAUCUUCUCAAUGCAAGAUUCUCUCUCUCUCUCUCUGUGUGCAACAUUUGGCUUUUACUCUCUGUGUGCAACAUUUGGCUUUUACCUUGAGAGUCUGUCAUUUAGGAUGAAACAAGAUGUUGCUUGUAGAUAACCUGCUGCUCUCUUGCUAUCAUUCUCUUACACAAAAAAUCCGAGCUCCAAAGGGGUAAUCCAAGUCACUUUAUAAUCUUGAUCUUUUUCAUGGGAAGCUGGAAGAAGGUACAAAUAAUCCCCUCCAACUUUCAUGGCAAAAUGGAGCAAAUGAUGUGGGGAAUGCCCAUGUGGUCGUGAACCUCCUCAAUCGCAGGGAUUCUUUCAACCCCUGGGGAUGUGAACCUUCUCUGCAAAUUGGAUACCAUCCAGUUUGUAUAGAUCAAUUGAACACUGAAGCCGCCGCCACCCAGAAUGUUAAUGGGUACUUUCCCUGGUGGAUUUGACGAGUUCUGGAACUUGAAAACUUUCUACCUCUACAGCUGAAAAUGCUACCUGAUCAAUUCUUCCUUCCUGUUUUUAUAUUUACUCUGAUGUUCCUUUCCCUAAAAAGUCUCAUAUGAAGAUAUGAUAAUAAUAGAUCUUGAGUCUUUGUAUCUGUAAAGUGAACCAAAAUAUGUUGCUAGAUGAAUGUGGAAUGGUACAAUAGUUUGUACUGAAUAAUAUUAUAUAGAAGUUAAUCAGAUACUUAUGAUAAUAAUAGAUCUUGAGUCUUUGUAUCUGUAAAGUGAACCAAAAUAUGUUGCUAGAUGAAUGUGGAAUGGUACAACAGUUUGUAUUGAAAUAAUAUUAUAUAGAAAUUAAUAAGAUACAUUAUGAA